GUGCACCAUAGCCCCCCGCGGCCCUGGCUAAGGGGCUGACGUCACCCUUCUGCAUUGAGCUUCAAGGACUGGUAGCAGCACCAGUUUGGUGGGGAAACAGAGUUGGGGCGCCAACGCUGCCAAGCGGCUGAUUUGGGGGAGUCCUCCCCCGGGGCGCUGCGGAUUGAGUUCACGCAGUGAAUAGUGACUGGAUGCGAAUGUACAAGUGAAGGGAGUGGAAAAGGGGUCGUAAGACCCACCUCCUGGGUAGCCGCAAAAGCUCAAAGAUGUCCCUGCCUUAUGUAAGACCCUCUCCCCUCCAUGCGCCUCCACGCGGUGGCGGUGUCUGCCCCCCCCCCAUUUAGAGCGCCCGAGGAACUCUGAUCGCCCUUGCCUAAGCAGGCAGAGGGCUUUCGGCGCCUCUCUCCUGCAUGCAGCUCCAAAGUGUCGAGGAUAACUGGAAACCUGGCAUCAAACCCCGCACUCCAGCGUCCGCUCCUAGCCCGCCACAGGUUGAUGGAAUCCUAUUUACCUCUUCGGAGAGCACCAUGAGAAGAAGAAGCCCUGUGAAAUUCAUCUUUGCAUCUCCUGUUAGCUUGCUGCUAAGAACUCUUGACUAUUACAUCAUUCACUGACAUCUUUAUGAAGCCUCUCAAGAGAAAUUUUGGUCUGGUCUUACUGUUAGAAAUAACAGUGCUUCCUUCACUUGAGUAAUUGGUUUGUUUUUGUUUUAUGGGCACUAAAUGGUGUAACUAAGUUUCCUUUUCUGACUGCCUGCCAGAAAGCUUACAUUUAAAUUUGUAGUUAAUCUAGAGUAAAUGAGUAGGAUUGCAUAAGCAUUUUUGUAUAAGCUUCAUUCCUGAUUCGCCUGUUACAAAUUUCUUGACCUAUGUUAUGGAUUCUUUUAAGCCACUUGAAACUUUUUCUGGAAAAGUCUGUUUAUAAAUAGAUGGUAAAUAAACUUACAAAAUGCAGAUUAAAAUCAUUUUGCAGUUUAUUUUGGAGAAAAGGGAAGA
rnacentral:lncRNA from 1 species